rnacentral:rRNA from 1 species
UACGUAGGUGGCAAGCGUUGUCCGGAUUUACUGGGUGUAAAGGGCGUGCAGCCGGAGAGACAAGUCAGAUGUGAAAUCCACGGGCUCAACCCGUGAACUGCAUUUGAAACUGUUUCCCUUGAGUGUCGGAGAGGUAAUCGGAAUUCCUUGUGUAGCGGUGAAAUGCGUAGAUAUUAGGAGGAACACCAGUGGCGAAGGCGGCCUGCUGGGCUUUAACUGACGCUGAGGCUCGAAAGCGUGGGUAGCAAACAGG